ensembl:lncRNA
CUAUUUAUUGGAUAUUAUUCAAUUGAACUUUCUUUAUUUAAUUUGAAAGUCAGUUGUCAACUACAUAAUAUGUUCAUACAAAGCUACUCCCUGAACUAAAUAUCUAUAUAUUAAUUAAUGGUUAAACACGCCUGAUAUAACAGAAACCCAUUACAUAAAAUGUACCGUUGAGUUUCCAGAUUUUUACUUCAGAUCAAAUAUUCUCUGGGCAAUUUGGAUAUGCAAUGAAUAUUUGAGUAGUUUUAAAAUCAAGAUAGGUCCUUCAUUUUCAUACCAUUAAACAUACUUUCCUCUAGAACUAACAUUUUGACCAGUGAUUUGCUUUAGGAGGAUACUGAUUAUUAUUGGUGUCAUUCUUAUUAUUUAACGUAGGACAGGUGCCGUCAUACUUGUUGUUGAUACUGCAUUUACCAAAACUGUUGCAGAAACAGAAUAAAGUAGUUAGGCAAGAAUAGCAUACGAAAUGACUGGAGGGGGCAGAAGGGAUAUGAGGGAACUGGAGUGGAGAAUAGUUGAAUACAGGGGAAACACAGGCAGUGUCUUUUUUAUCUUAAUUCCUUUAGUUCAUUUGAGGUUAAUUGAAUCCUUUAAAAGCGCAGAGACACGUGAAAGAGGAGAGCGGGAGGUAUGGGUAAAGAGAGUAAAGAGAACUGCCCUUCACUGGUAAUGGCCUGGUUUGUUUGUUUUCAUAUCCAUGGUAGAGAACGUGACCCAAAAGUAAACUCGGGUCAGACGCUUUCUCAGACAGCCCAAUGUCUAUUUUGGUGCUGUCUGCAAACACAAAUAUAUCGGUCCCAAAGACACCACCGGCUGGAGGUCACCAAUGAAAACCUAUGUAAGCCGUUAUCGCACAAAACUUUUGCUAGUCAGUACGGUCUGAGCCGUAUCAGUCACACUUAGGCGUGAAUUCUAUCACGCUUCAGUUCUCCUCUUCUCUCUCUGCAUGCUUUCGCUCUGUUGAUGCUUUCCGUUUUCUCUCUUUUCCUUCACCCGUCCUCUUCUCCCAUCCACUUUUGCUGCUCUGAGCCGAUAAGGGAAUUGCUUCUUUCAUCGACGGAUCCUUUAAUUCUAUACUUUUAAUCAAGCCUGUUAGUACUUCUUAAUUAAGACAUCACAGUAGUGUUUGAUCACGCUCUUCUGUGUGUAUGUGUGUGUGUGUGUGUGUGAGAGAGAGAGAGGGCAUGAAAAAGAGUGCAGAAACUCUACCAGCCCCUACUCUGUGUGUGUGAAGAUGACUGAACAGCUUCAAGUGGGGUAGCUACGCCUCCUCCAACGGUUGUCUGCCAGGCCUUGAGGCUUGCGGUGUGUAGAUAUCCCAAGCCAUCAAGCAUCAACCUCCAGAGAUCCAUACUAGACAGAUGGUAUUGGAGACUUGGUGGGAUAUCGAGCUCCCUACUGUCAGUUUGUUGCGAUGAUAAGACACAACAGGCUGUCAAUACUUACAGUCCACUAAUCAAAGACGCUGGAUCAAAAUCCCACCCAGCACAAAGACUGUUUAGAAGGCAAAACUUAACUUUUUCUGGAUUUCAUUAGAGUGAGACUACACAUUUACAAACACACAAACAGUAACACUUUUGCUUGUUGUGACAUAUGUUCUGGCCUUGAGGUUUUCCUCCCUAAAGGCCGUUGACACUAUUAGUGAUUCUUCUCUUUAAUGGUGCGCGUAGGUGGGAAUAUGUGUACGUACAGGGUGGGGGUGGGCCUCUGCUGUACGGUUCUUAAUGGAAUGGACCUCUAUCCUCAGGCACGGAGUGAUGCACGCAAGUGGAGGGCAGGGAAGGGGGAUGACAGAAGCCUUAGUCUGACAUGCCUGACCUAUAUCCCUCUUUGCUUAGCAGAGAGAGGGAAAGAGUAAUUGGCAGAUACAGCUUCGCUGUUAGGGGCGCUCUCUCUCGCUGGAUGGUGUUUUCUGUGUUCGAUACGGCCGUUGACGAGGGUGAGGAUCCGCGCUCGGCGCUUCGGUCUCUUGUUUGUCAUCGGCGUAAAAUAGCAGGACAAGCCUUGCCUCGACACAGCUAAUUGUCUGCGUCGUUAGCAUGAUCAUACGUCCAGUGGCUUCAAUACUGAAACAAACUCAAAUGUGUGUCUGUCAGUCAAUUAGUCAGUCAGUGUGUGUGUGUUUGUGUGCAUGCGCUGUCUGGCGCUGGCAGGGAAGAUUUGGCGAAUUUUACAUGGGUGGGACUCACACACUCAUCACUCACACAUCCAUGCGCCUUACAAAUGAAAAUAAACAGGCUUUCCAACGGGAUGACAAUCAUUGCCAAGAAGCAUUGUUAUAAGAAAGAAAAAAAACACAAACACACUUUCUCUGCUAAGUUUAUAUUAUUGUAUUACUUAGUAUGUUAAAUUGUUAGUAAGAAGUUUUACUCCAAUGGGACUUUAGUUAACGAUCUGAGAACAUCUUCCACCAAUGGUUAUUGGUUGGGAUGAUGCUGAGUUGUUGAUUAUAUAUUCUUAGUUUAGAGUUUUUCUUAAUCUUUAGAAUGUCUGUGUCCGUAUAUGUGUGUGUGUUUUUGUGAGUGUGUGGUCCCCCUGGCAUGUCCUGGAUGCUUUAGCAGGAUACACAGCUCUUUCUGCCUGGUUAACUGAUGGGGGCUGUUUGGCUUCCAGACGAUUUAGCAAAGGAAGCUCUGCACAACAAACAUAAACAGACACGUACUGAUACAGGCAAUAACAGAGAAUGCAUACACCCAAAAAACCUCACACACAGACAGAAACACAUGUAUAUUUGCAAACAAAUGACAUAUUGAUUAUCAUGCGAAAGGGCAUGGGUGAGCAUGUACCACACGGACGACACUUUUGCAGAGAGUGCCUUAUUUCAGCUCUCCCACUCUAGCAGUCCAUUUGCCCCUAAGGUAGAGGAGGGAAGGGCCAACGGAUGGGAGAAGAGAAAGAAAGAACACCCCCCCCCCCCGCCCCCCCAUAGGUCAGGAUGAGAAAGGACUUAGAUCCUUAGAGCGGGACGUGGGCCUGAGUGGGGAUGAAGAGCUGGCAUGGGGAAGCAGAGGGUUGCGUGCGUGUGUGUUUGUGUUCCUCUUCAAGUCACUGUAGUUCAAAAACUGAACCACGUCCAAGCCCUGGUAAUGAUGCAGCCGGCUACAACAGACUACAAUAACCGACAGUCUAAGGCCGGCCAAUUACUGUCCGCCGCAAUUAUAUUUCCAAUUCAGAGGUAACGGGAGAAAGUGGCCCAACUCAAAUAAUCAUUUCGAGCAAUUACUUUUCAAACUAAUUAGAAUGUCAGGUUUGGCUGCGCGGGCCUGAGCUCGGGGGGAGGCUCUGUUUGUGUUUUUGUUGCUGUUUUCACUUUGUCAAAUGGAUGGACUUGAAAGGAGGGAGCAGGAGGAAGGGGCAAUAUCAGCAACAGUGCAAGCCAAACAUCAACCACAGCCAUGGAUUGAGAGACUUGGUCAUUGUGGGAGUUUGGUGAGUUCGUGGAAAUCCAUUGUGCUCAGGAGAAUGCUGUGUCCAUUCUGUUGUAUUUUGCUAGACUGGAAAGAGGAGUUCUUGGGGAUGUCAGCUGAAACGCUGAGAGAGAAACAGAGAGCGAUGUGAAGGAGACUUUUUGUAUUAAAACACCACCCAAAAGUGUUUUUACCACUUUAAAUGUAUUCAAGAAAAGUUGGUUGAAACGUUAUCAUGCCAAUAUCAUGAAUAAGUAGAACUGUGUGUGCUUUAACCCCCAUAUUUAUUAUUUUUCACUUUUCACUUGCCUUUUUUAUCAUGAAGAUGUGAUCAAAUUGUGUUACAAAUAUAUAAUGUAAAUGUGAAAAAGUGGAGCACAUUUAUUGCUUUAAGCUUCAGUUGGUCUGAUUGUACUUCAUAAUGUUGUAAUUAUGAUUAAUUCUGAGAAAUACAUAAAUAUAUUUGAAAAUAUAUGAUAAAUAUUGUGAUAUUGAUUUUAGCCAUGCAUGUUGAAUGUGUGUGCCAUUUGGAAAAUCUGCAAGAUGGCCUAUGUUAUAUAUUUUAUGAGUCUUGGGGUUUCGUUUUACACCAUACCACUCUGGUUAAGACACGCACACCCACACACACACACACACACACACACACACACACACACACACACACACACACACUGUUUCUUAAAGUGUAUGGUCCACCUGAGUAACACUGGUUCACACAGUAAUGCGUGGCAGGGUAAUGGUAGCAAACGCAGGUGUAGCACACAAACAUAGUUGUUCCAUGCAGAUAAUUCCAAUAUUAAACAUGAUUUUUUCAUAUGGUUUAAUAUAUCUCUUUAAUGGAUGCCAAAAAAUUCAUGAUGAAUUCAACGUUAAUAACAUCAAUGCUCUCGGGCAGAAAAAAAACAUUCUCAUUGUUAAUCAAUUUGUUGCAUUCUUUAUAUAAUAACAUUGCACCGUUAAUACAAUCAUCUAAGUUAUCAUCAGUUCACAAAAGAGUAUGAUCAUUUUUCUUGCAUCAGGCCUGGCAUUAGCAUUUCUCCUGCCCACCACGGCUAACGCAUUUUUUUAGAGAUUUUUUUUUUGCAUUAUUCAGUGUUUGCUAUGGGUCAUUUGUCUCCACAUAUUCACACAUACACACAUGCUGUAUAAAAACAAACACAAACACACAAAAAUGCCUCUGGUAGUUGUCAUAACAGACCACCCUUGAUGGAGUGAUGUCUCAUUAACAGACAGCUAGCAGCAAAACAAUGGCGCUACCUCUCCCACUUUUGCGGCGCCAUGGUGACAAUUCAUCGCUGAGACACACCAACGCAAAAUCUACGCUUUCCUGUUCAAUUUCAACCCAUUAAUUAAAACUGUUAAACAAGUUAUCGGGUGCACUCUACGCUUUGACAGUAGCCAGCAUAUUUUAGCAGGAAAACUUAUAACUGAGUUUGUGUUUGGGCACUUUUAGCGAUCAAUUGUCUAAAAUCUUCGGUCGCAGAGUUUUCUGCAAAAUGUUCUUUUUUCCCCCAUGCAACUUAUUUAGUUUUUGUUUUUUUAAGAGUUGAUGGAUGGAUGAUUGAUACUUAAAAUUCGAAAUUAAUCAAAUUUAGUGGGAAGUGCCAUUUAUUCUCAUAACAAUUGAUUUCAUGCCAAUGCGUGUGUAAUCAUCAGUGUGGUAAUUACUAAUUAGGUAAAAGCGGUCCACAAUUGUUGAUUGUUAUUUGUUAUUAAAGGGACGAGUAGAAAAAAGCUGAAAAUGUUCUGGUGUUUUUUUUUCUUCUAUGUGUGGCUGAUGUCCUUGCUGCUAUGCAAUUAGCUGACCCAUUAAAUGCCUUAUUAUUCGCAGUUACACAUCUGUAAUUGAUGUUUGUCUUCGCCGGUGCCCCGAACAACCCACGUCGGAGUGUCAUUCUCAUUAUGUUCGCUGAGAGGUUCUGUAGGCCGGAGAUUUGAACCACAGUUUCUGAAGUGUGCACACUGUGAAGGCGAGGAGUCGAGAUGGAGGGAAGAGAGAGAGAGACGUAUGGAGAGGACGGGCAGCGGCAACCAAAAGUGGAAGAAGAGGAGAUGUACUUUGAUUGACAGUUGUUUGGCCCGCUGCCUGCUGAGGUUGUUCCCCCCGUCGACUGCUAUUAUCGGCAGAAGGACUUCCCCAUUGCCUUGGCAGGGACUGUGUCACCCCUCUCCCCUGGAGGAUGCUAUCCCAUUUGGGGGAAGAUGAAUAGGGGUCCCCUCACCCAGUAUGAGGUCUAUGUGGACAGAAUCUUUACAGGGGGAGCACAGUGGCGUAAACAGGCUUUAUGUCAAUACCAGCAUUUUUGACAUCAUAAAAACUACCGCACCCCCCCCCCCCCGAUAGUUUUAAGACCGCUCGUUUGAGGGAGGUGUCUGGGUUCCACUUUUUAGAAAUGUUAAAAAGUUGACUUGUAAUUCAUUUAUGACAAAUAUGGGAGUGAAUUGGAGUUACACAAAUAAUGUUUGUGAAAAAACUGUGACACUAUAUACUAAUUACAAUAAUGUAAUUACAUACUUUUGUAACUUGUUUCAGUUUUGUUUGUUUUUUGAUUUUUUGACAAUUCUUUAUACUUAAUCAACC